CAACAACAAGCUGCAGGUUGGUACCAGAGUCAAAGCUCCAUCCUACAGUCAUUAUGUUCUUGUACUGAUCUGUGUCGUGUCUUUAAACUCGCUCUUCUGCUUUCAAGGCUGAUUGUGAAGAGGAGACGUAUGCUGACUUCAGUCUUCAGACUGUGGGCUCGUUCUCGUCCAUCAUCUGAGCAGUCAUCAUGGACUGGUUUCACUCUGUUUCUCUGUGGACUUUUAUUCUCAGCUUGGAUUUUGUUAAAGCAGGACAAUCCUGAAACUGUUUCAGUCUCUGUGUUUCCAAACUGAGCUGAUAAAUGUUUAAAUGAAUAAAACAGUGCAAGUGGAUUCAAGAAAGUACGAGUUGUUUUAAGUUUAACACACAAAACGAAGUAUCCGCAUGUAUCAAGUGAAUGGUACUGCCCCCUCGAUGGAGCAGCCAGCUGAUUGGUUAAAUCUUCCAAGAGCUUAUUGGUCAGGCAGUAGCUUCAGCUUUUUUGCCCGAUUUGAUGGCGCUACCACAAAAUGCUUUCAGUUUGUUUCUUGUCAUUCUUAAAGUAACAUCUGUGUUAUUAGUUGAUGUUA